AAAGGAGAUAAGAAGGGACGGUUUCAAGGCCCUCCGAAUGCGAACCCCGUCGGCCCUUGAGCCACGCGAGUCAAGCGUGAAUCAAAGGGAAUGCGGCAGAGGGGCGAGAGAGCCGAGCACCGUGGUGCCGUCGCCUGCAGAGGGCGAGCACAGCGGCAAGGAGGUCCUCUCUGGCGGGGCUGAAGAGGGCGAACGAAGCGGCACGGAGGUCCUCUCUAGCCGGGCCGCAAGAGCCGCAAGCGGGCGUGCAUCCUGGAGAAGCAUCGCUGUUGGACGCAGGCCUGCGCGGUGUGGUGGACCUGAACAAUGGCAGUGAGAUACGUGGAAAUAAGUGUCUUACGGUUCCUUCAGCC
ensembl:lncRNA